rnacentral:rRNA from 1 species
AAAGGAAUAGACGGGGGCCCGCACAAGCGGUGGAGCAUGUGGUUUAAUUCGACGCAACGCGAAGAACCUUACCAAGGCUUGACAUGGAGGCGACAGGCGCGGAGACGCGCUCUUCUUCGGACGCCUCACACAGGUGGUGCAUGGUUGUCGUCAGCUCGUGUCGUGAGAUGUUGGGUUAAGUCCCGCAACGAGCGCAACCCCUAUUUUCAGUAGCCAGCACGUCGAGGUGGGCACUCUGGAGAGACUGCCGCGGACAACGCGGAGGAAGGCGGGGAUGACGUCAAAUCAUCAUGCCCCUUACGUCUUGGGCUACACACGUGCUACAAUGGCAGGUACAAAGUGACGCGAAACGGCGACGUUUAGCAAAUCACAAAAAACCGGCCUCAGUUCGGAUCGCGGUCUGCAACUCGACCGCGUGAAGUCGGAAUCGCUAGUAAUCGCGAAUCAGCAUGUCGCGGUGAAUACGUUCCCGGGCCUUGUACACACCGCCCGU